GUUUUAAUAGCUUAGGUUUAAAGUAUAGUAUUGAAGAUACUAUGAUGAUUGAUAAAUCUUAAAACA
rnacentral:tRNA from 1 species